CCUACGGGUGGCUGCAGUGGGGAAUAUUGCACAAUGGGCGCAAGCCUGAUGCAGCCAUGUCGCGUGUGUGAAGAAGGCCUUCGGGUUGUAAAGCACUUUCAGCGGGGAGGAAGGCGGUGAGGUUAAUAACCUCAUCGAUUGACGUUACCCGCAGAAGAAGCACCGGCUAACUCCGUGCCAGCAGCCGCGGUAAUACGGAGGGUGCAAGCGUUAAUCGGAAUUACUGGGCGUAAAGCGCACGCAGGCGGUCUGUCAAGUCGGAUGUGAAAUCCCCGGGCUCAACCUGGGAACUGCAUUCGAAACUGGCAGGCUAGAGUCUUGUAGAGGGGGGUAGAAUUCCAGGUGUAGCGGUGAAAUGCGUAGAGAUCUGGAGGAAUACCGGUGGCGAAGGCGGCCCCCUGGACAAAGACUGACGCUCAGGUGCGAAAGCGUGGGGAGCAAACAGGAUUAGAUACCCGGUAGUC
rnacentral:rRNA from 1 species